UUAAGGAAGUAAGGGUGCCCGGCGGAUGCCUUGGCACUGGGAGCCGAUGAAGGACGCGACUAACGGCGAAACGCUGCGGGGAGCUGUAAGUGAGCAGAGAUCCGCAGGUCUCCGAAUGGGGGAACCCACCGGCCUGAAGGGUCGGUACCAUGCGGUGAAUCAAUAGCCGCAUGGAGGGAACCCGGGGAACUGAAACAUCUUAGUACCCGGAGGAAAAGAAAGCAACAGCGAUUCCCUAAGUAGAGGCGAUCGAACGGGGAACAGCCCGUUACCACAAGGAGUUACAAAAUUCCGGCAUAGUUGAACCGGCUUGGAAAACCGGACGAAACAAGGUGAAAGUCCUGUAAACGAAAUGCCGGGAUCUCCGGUAACAAAGAGUAGGGCGGGACACGUGGAAUCCUGUCUGAAAAUGCGAGGACCAUCUCGUAAGGCUAAAUACUACCCAGUGACCGAUAGUGAACCAGUACCGUGAGGGAAAGGUGAAAAGAACCCCUGGCGGGGAGUGAAAGAGAACCUGAAACCGUGCACUUACAAUUAGUCAGAGCCCGUUAAUGGGUGAUGGCGUGCCUUUUGUAGAAUGAACCGGCGAGUUACGAUGAUUUGCGAGGUUAAGCUUUAAGGAGCGGAGCCGCAGCGAAAGCGAGUCUUAACAGGGCGCAUUAGUAGAUCGUCGUAGACCCGAAACCGGGUGAUCUAGCCAUGAGCAGGUUGAAGCUUGGGUAAAGCCAGGUGGAGGACCGAACCAGGGUCUGUUACAAUAGACUUGGAUGACUUGUGGCUAGGGGUGAAACGCCAAACGAACCCGGAGAUAGCUGGUUCUCCCCGAAAUAGCUUUAGGGCUAGCGUCGCAUCAGAGUUUCAUGAAGGUAGAGCACUGAAUGUGUGAGGGCCACACCUCGUGGUACCGAUCCCAAUCAAACUCCGAAUGACAUGAAAUGCGUGCGGCAGUAAGACUGCGAGUGAUAAGAUCCGUGGUCAAAAGGGAAACAGCCCAGACCGCCAGUUAAGGUCCCAAAAUCCAUGCUAAGUGGGAAAGGAUGUGGAGUCGUUCAGACAACUAGGAGGUUGGCUUAGAAGCAGCCAUCCUUUAAAGAGUGCGUAAUAGCUCACUAGUCGAAUAAUUCUGCGCCGAAAAUUCAACGGGGCUAAGCAUGGUACCGAAACUGCGGAACCCACUGUGGUUGGUAGGGGAGCGUGCUUAAUGCGGCGAAGGCGGACCGAGAGGACCGUUGGAGCGUUAAGCAGUGAGAAUGCCGGUGUGAGUAACGAAAAGAUGGGUGAGAAUCCCAUCCGUCGAAAGCCUAAGGUUUCCAGAGGAAGGUUCGUCCGCUCUGGGUUAGUCGGGUCCUAAGGUCAGGCUGAAAAGCGUAGCCGAUGGACAACAGGUUAAUAUUCCUGUACCGCCCGGUUGACUGAUGGAAUGACGAAGGAGGCUAACCGAAGCUGCUUAGUGGAUUGCAGUUCAAGCGCAAAGGCGGGCAUGCAGGCAAAUCCGCAUGCCGUAACGCUGAAACGUGACGACGCAAGUUCGGUGAAGCCAGACUUCCGAGAAAAGUUUCUAGGGUUAAUCAACCGGGUGCCCGUACCGCAAACGGACACACGUGGGCGAGGAGAGAAUCCACAGACGCGCGAGAAAACUCUUGUCAAGGAACUCGGCAAAAUUGCCCCGUAACUUCGGGAUAAGGGGAGCUCUAAUUGAGCCGCAGAGAAUAGGCCCAAGCGACUGUUUACCAAAAACACAGGUCUCUGCUAAACCGCAAGGUGAAGUAUAGGGGCUGACGCCUGCCCAGUGCUGGAAGGUUAAGAGGAUGUGUCAGGAGCAAUCCAAAGCAUUGAAUUGAAGCCCCAGUAAACGGCGGCCGUAACUAUAACGGUCCUAAGGUAGCGAAAUUCCUUGUCGGGUAAGUUCCGACCCGCACGAAAGGCGUAACGAUUUGGGCGCUGUCUCGACAGGAGACUCGGUGAAAUCAUACUACCUGUGAAGAUGCAGGUUACCCGCGACUAGACGGAAAGACCCCGUGGAGCUUCACUGCAGCCUGAUAUUGGUAUUGGGCAUCGGAUGUACAGGAUAGGUGGGAGACUAAGAAACUGGGACGCCAGUCUCAGCGGAGUCGUCCUUGGGAUACCACCCUUUCGGUGCCUAGUAUCUAACCAGUGGCCAUGAACCUGGUCAUGGGACAUUGUCAGGUGGGCAGUUUGACUGGGGCGGUCGCCUCCCAAAGAGUAACGGAGGCGCCCAAAGGUUCCCUCAGAAUGGUUGGAAAUCAUUCGGAGAGUGCAAAGGCAGAAGGGAGCUUGACUGCGAGAGAGACAUCUCGAGCAGGGACGAAAGUCGGGCUUAGUGAUCCGGUGGUACCGAGUGGAAGGGCCAUCGCUCAACGGAUAAAAGCUACCCCGGGGAUAACAGGCU
rnacentral:rRNA from 1 species